AUAUGCCAUGUGGUUUCCCGCCAUUUUGUGCCCCAGGGCCCAAUUAUUUGGCGCGGUGAUUCAGAAACUGGGAAAGCAGCUCAAACGCGCACAAUUUUGGUUUCGCCGCCGCACGAGAAGAACCAAAAUCGCGAUGGAAAUAGUUCGACCUCAGAGUCACCGGAACUCCUUGUCCUCCGCCAACGAUGCCGCCGUUGCUGUUCCGACCAUUCCCUCAUAUCGCUCUGCUCCCCCACUCGAAGUCAGGCUCGAGGAUUUCGAGUCCUUCGCCAUCGAUCGCCUCCGAGUUCUCAAGGGGAUUUCUGAUGGCAUGUCAAGGGGAAAGAAACAGGAAGAAAUGGAAAAAUUGGUAAAAGACCUUUGGAGAGUGAAUAUGAGACAUCAACAUGCAUCUGAGGUUCUGAACAAAGAUAUUAUAUCUCAUUUUGUUCUACGUCUCGUGUAUUGCAGAACGGAGGACUUGAGAAAAUGGUUUCUUUCUAUGGAAUGUGCUCUCUUCCGCUACCGUUUUCGUUCUCUAUAUACUGCGGAAGCUCAGAGGGCAGUCAUGGAGGAAUUCGACCUUUCUGGCAGUGCCGUUACCAAAAUGGAAUUUCAGGAUAUAAAAGAGAAAUUGGGACAAGUUGCACGUUCCAUGGGCCAGCCUUUACCCACUCUUGAUGCUAUCUUCUACAAGGUACCUUUUGAAGAAGUUCCAGAGCUUGUUGCUGGACGGAAAGUGUUUAUAAAACAAGGAUAUGCAUAUGUUGCAAUGAAUCAGGUUGUUUCAUUUGUAGCCACACUAUUUCGAAGUCAGCUGUCAAAGACACUCAUCCUUACAAACAGAAAAUGGACAUCUUCAAUUAGAGAACAAGAGAAGCAUAGGUUGACUCCUAUUGUGGAAGCUCUGUGCUCAAGUUACCUGGGUCCUGAUCUUUCUCAGCCAAGAGAAUAUGCUGAGAUAUCAUUGAAGGACAUUGAUCAAAUUGCCAAGAGCUCAUUUCCUUUGUGCAUGCGUCACCUAUUUGAUAAGCUGAAAGAAGAUCAUCAUUUAAAGCAUGGAGGGAGGAUGCAACUAGGCCUCUUUCUCAAGGGUGUUGGCUUGAACCUGGAUGAUGCACUUGCAUUUUGGAGAGCUGAGUUUUCUAAAAAGGUUGGUUUGGAAAAGUUUGAGAAAGAAUAUGCAUAUAACAUACGCCAUAAUUAUGGAAAGGAAGGGAAGAGAACGGAUUAUACUCCCUAUUCUUGUCAAAAGGUUAUUUCAUCAACUCCUGGUGCUGGAGAUCAGCAUGGUUGCCCCUAUAGACAUUUCAGUGAAGAGAAUCUAAAAGCUGCACUCAGCAGAAUGGGGGUGAACAGUCGAGCAAUGGAAGAUGUAAUAGACAAAGUGCGAAAUAGACAUUAUCAGUUAGCUUGCACCUUGACAUUUGAAGCCCUUCACGGCGUACCAUGUGAUGCAGGGAUUAACCAUCCAAAUCAAUACUUUAUUGACAGUCAAAAGAUAUUGCAACCAAAGAAGGAUUCUUCAGCCUGAAUAUUUAUUGGCUUAUUGCAAGAAACGUAUCCACUGGCAGCCAUUCACAGUCGCACGCUCUCUGCUAGCAACCUGUUUGUAUGUUAAUCAGCUGUGGGAAACGAAUAAUGUUAUAGCUCAGUAAUAUGAGGCAAUUUUGUACAAUGUAAAAAUGACAUUCUUGAAGGUGAUAAUUUAUCCGGAAUAUUGAUUGUAAACUGAAUUGGGGAGAAAUAUCAGCUGAACUGGAUAGUUGCAAGGCUGUCAUGAGGAGCAAGCAACUAUUUAAGCGCCUUCUCAACUGGUGUGAAGAUGAAUUGAGGUUGGGAAAUCUUCAAAAGAAAAGAUUGGUGUGUUAAUAUUUUAGCUGCAUAAAGUAAUCCUUAUUUUUGUUUAUGUGGGGAUUUGGGAAGUGUUAUCCACACUUCUUUAACACUUUCCAACACUAAAUCUUUGUGAGAUGACCUAAUCUUACGUGUCUCAUUUCAUUAUUUGGGUCUCAUUUAUACGGAAGGUUACACUCUUCAUUUGGGGAGGUUGACCUUCGAUCAAUCAGUGUUAGAUAGAUAGUGACUCUUGUGGUUGUUGUGGCAUCUUGUAUCAAUGACGAAAGAGGUAUAUUUUUAUCA